UCCUCGAUAGCUCAGUUGGUAGAGCAAGUGACUGUUAAUCACUGGGUCACAGGUUCGAGUCCUGUUCGAGGAGCCA
rnacentral:tRNA from 1 species